GGGACACGUGGUAUCCUGUCUGAAUAUGGGGGGACCAUCCUCCAAGGCUAAAUACUCCUGACUGACCGAUAGUGAACCAGUACCGUGAGGGAAAGGCGAAAAGAACCCCGGCGAGGGGAGUGAAAAAGAACCUGAAACCGUGUACGUACAAGCAGUGGGAGCACGCUUAGGCGUGUGACUGCGUACCUUUUGUAUAAUGGGUCAGCGACUUAUAUUCUGUAGCAAGGUUAACCGAAUAGGGGAGCCGAAGGGAAACCGAGUCUUAACUGGGCGUUAAGUUGCAGGGUAUAGACCCGAAACCCGGUGAUCUAGCCAUGGGCAGGUUGAAGGUUGGGUAACACUAACUGGAGGACCGAACCGACUAAUGUUGAAAAAUUAGCGGAUGACUUGUGGCUGGGGGUGAAAGGCCAAUCAAACCGGGAGAUAGCUGGUUCUCCCCGAAAGCUAUUUAGGUAGCGCCUCGUGAAUUCAUCUCCGGGGGUAGAGCACUGUUUCGGCAAGGGGGUCAUCCCGACUUACCAACCCGAUGCAAACUGCGAAUACCGGAGAAUGUUAUCACGGGAGACACACGGCGGGUGCUAACGUCCGUCGUGAAGAGGGAAACAACCCAGACCGCCAGCUAAGGUCCCAAAGUCAUGGUUAAGUGGGAAACGAUGUGGGAAGGCCCAGACAGCCAGGAUGUUGGCUUAGAAGCAGCCAUCAUUUAAAGAAAGCGUAAUAGCUCACUGGUCGAGUCGGCCUGCGCGGAAGAUGUAACGGGGCUAAACCAUGCACCGAAGCUGCGGCAGCGACGCUGAUGCGUUGUUGGGUAGGGGAGCGUUCUGUAAGCCUGCGAAGGUGUGCUGUGAGGCAUGCUGGAGGUAUCAGAAGUGCGAAUGCUGACAUAAGUAACGAUAAAGCGGGUGAAAAGCCCGCUCGCCGGAAGACCAAGGGUUCCUGUCCAACGUUAAUCGGGGCAGGGUGAGUCGACCCCUAAGGCGAGGCCGAAAGGCGUAGUCGAUGGGAAACAGGUUAAUAUUCCUGUACUUGGUGUUACUGCGAAGGGGGGACGGAGAAGGCUAUGUUGGCCGGGCGACGGUUGUCCCGGUUUAAGCGUGUAGGCUGGUUUUCCAGGCAAAUCCGGAAAAUCAAGGCUGAGGCGUGAUGACGAGGCACUACGGUGCUGAAGCAACAAAUGCCCUGCUUCCAGGAAAAGCCUCUAAGCAUCAGGUAACAUCAAAUCGUACCCCAAACCGACACAGGUGGUCAGGUAGAGAAUACCAAGGCGCUUGAGAGAACUCGGGUGAAGGAACUAGGCAAAAUGGUGCCGUAACUUCGGGAGAA
rnacentral:rRNA from 1 species